rnacentral:lncRNA from 1 species
CGGAGGCUCAAAUGCUCGUCAGUUUCCCAGGGACGUGGGCUGGUGAUAUACCUGCUCAUAUCCACUGCCUGUUUUUAGAGAAGAGGCAUCCAGAAUGGCAGAAAGAUGCAUGGCAAUGUCCUCAUUGUGUCAGGCGUGGCUUGGGUCCCUGUACCCUACUGAAGAAAUUUGAAGGUGCCACAGAAGAGAACCCAAAACAAGCCACAGAAAUGAGCCAAAGUAAUUAAAGAAUGUUACCAUGUUACCUACCAUGCCUCAGGCAUUGAGCUAAACGACCAGGCUACAAAGAUGCACAGAGAUGCCUUACCUUGAAGAGUUCAAGACCUGGGGUACAGAAUGGCCAGGGGCACAAGACAGCUCAUGGAGGAGGAACGAAAAGUCCGGCACCGUGAGAUGA